rnacentral:rRNA from 1 species
AGCGAACGCUGGCGGCAGGCUUAACACAUGCAAGUCGAGCGGGCAUCCUUGUGGUGUCAGCGGCAGACGGGUGAGUAACGCGUGGGAACGUGCCCUUCGGUUCGGAAUAACUCGGGGAAACUUGAGCUAAUACCGGAUACGUGCGAGAGCAGAAAGGUUUAUCUGCCGAAGGAUCGGCGCGCGUCUGAUUAGCUAGUUGGUGAGGUUAUGGCUCACCAAGGCGACGAUCAGUAGCUGGUCUGAGAGGAUGAUCAGCCACACUGGGACUGAGACACGGCCCAGACUCCUACGGGAGGCAGCAGUGGGGAAUAUUGGACAAUGGGGGCAACCCUGAUCCAGCCAUGCCGCGUGAGUGAUGACGGCCUUAGGGUUGUAAAGCUCUUUUCUCCGGGACGAUAAUGACGGUACCGGAGGAAUAAGCCCCGGCUAACUUCGUG